UAACAAAACGGUGCACGGACAGACACACUGACAAACACGAGGAGGACGGAGCCAGCAGCUGCAUCGACGAAGCCAGUCCAACCAAUUGAGCACUACCCUUGCCUCACGACAUAAGCAAUCGCCACCACCCUGCUGAAAGCAAGAGCACAUUUUUGUGCACGGGAUUUGUGGAGUGGAUUGUUGUUAUUGUUAUUGAUUUGGCCUGCAAACAACCCGUGUUCCCCCAGAUACCAUUGCUGGUAGAGAGGCUGUUCUUUAUGUUUGUAUUAAAUAAACACAGACAUUUCGGGAGUUUA